GUCUGAGUCCAUGCUGCAGAGGGUGCUGCACUUGAUAGGCAUGGCUCUGCUGGAGGAGCAGCAACAGCUAGAGAACAUUGGGGAUGACGAUGAAGUUACUUUCAACUUCACCCUCAAAAUCUCCCCGUGUAUGAAGCAGUGCUGCACGGAGCAGAUGACGGAAUGUCUGGACUGGAUUAUGGCUGAAUGUAAGAAUUUGUAUUCAAAAUUUCUGCAGAGUAUGGCGAUCUCCUUCAUACAGAAGUCAGAUGGUUGAGUAGGAGUAAAGUACUUCACCGUUUUAUUUCCUUGGUGAGUGAAAUUACGGCUUUAAUGGAACUGGGGGGGGGGCGACACUAACCUGUUGUCUGAUGGCUGCUUGAUCUUGCAUUCUUGGCUGAUGUGACAGAGAAACUGAAUCAGCUCAAUCUUCAGUUACAAGGUAAAGACAAAACCAUAUGUGAUAUGAUCAGUGCUGUGAAGGUAUUUAA
ensembl:lncRNA